CAAAGGAGCUGUUAGGUGGCAGGGACUGUUACGUGGCAUGACCUGGCUCACGCUCUUCUCUCCGGCAGCUCCAGCCACGGAAGGCACACAGGAGCACGUGUGCUGGCUAAUGUGUAACUACCUUUGUUCUGCUCUUGCUCUUUCUGCGCCUUGGCUCUUUUCUUUCCCAGUGGGUUGUUUGUUUUUGCUUUUUUUUUACUCUGAAAUGUAGGGCCUGUGGGAUCAUUGCAUCCAGCCUUCUGCUGUCACAGGUGCAACCGCGCUCAGGCUCUUCCCCAAACCUGACAAGUUCUGUUUUAAAACUGGUUACAAUUACUCCCACUGGAAUGCUGUUAUGAAACCUGCACAUCUCACACUUGUAAAGAGGAGAUGCUGUUUAGUUCCUCUGAUCUUUUCACUGUUGCUGUGCUGCUGGCAAGGACACUUUGACCAUGUGGGACUGGUGACAAGCUGGAGCUGUGCCCUCAGCUGCAGACUGCACAGCUGCCACAGCCAGGUCCUCCUCAGUCCUGCGCCCUUGCUCUUGAGCAUACAGCAUCUGUAACAGGUGCAAUGGCACUGCAACAAUGGGCAAGAGAAGCACAUCAACAAGCAAAUAGCACAUGGAAGCAUGAGGUCAUCCUGUUUGCCACUUGUGCUCACAGAAAUCUGUUGUACCAGAGACUGUAGAAAUCUCUGACUCACCAAGCUGAUCUUCUAGGAAGAAAUAUGGCCAUGCAAGGAACUGGAGGUGAGUCUAGCUCUUCCCGGUGAGGGUGGUGGGGCACUGGAACAGGUUGCCCAGGGAAGCUGUGGAUGUCCCAUCCCUGGAAGUGUUCAAGGGCAGGCUGGAUGGGAAUUUCAGCUACCUGGUCUAGUGGGAGGUGUCCCUGCCCAUGGUGGGAGGGUUGGAAAGAGAGGGUCUUUAAGGUCCCUUCCAACCCAGACCAUUCUAUUGAUACUUAAUUUUGUUUAUUCUCCAAGUAAUUCUUGAAGAUGUGAUAUGAGAUUGACUCAUAUGGGGAAAAUAUGGGUGACAUGGGGUGAAACAUGAGAAGAGAGAAAGUUCCUCAACUUUUCCUGGGCAUCAGAGUGGAUUCAGCAGGAAGGAAGCACACUUAGCCUUUCAACUGCACAGGAUUGUGAACAGGGGCCUGGUGAAGUAAUACACCCUUCAAAUGCACAUGUUGAUGAGCUGCAGUGGCUUUUCUGAACCAGUAAUCUACACUACUUCAUUCAUUGUAAAUGGUUUAAUGUUUUGCAUUUUGAGAGUGCAUUUCAGUCAGAGCUUUACAAAUACUCAUUAAGCCCUGAAACACUGCUCUGGAAUAGAUGAAUAAAUUAUAUGGGGAAAGUAAUCAUUAGAAACCUUGUUGUUUUGUUGAAUGGUGUACAGUUUUCAUGUAACCCAGGACUUAAGUGCAGCAAGUCCUUGACACCUAUUUUCACUUUCCUAUAUGAAUAUUCAUUUGGUUUAAGUUAGCAUUUCAUCCCCACAUCUUAUCAGAAUUUAAAUUCUUCCUCCUCUAAUGGAAACUGUGCUGUUUCCCUGACACAGACAAUGGUUGGCAUCAAAUAAAAUUGUUCUUUGUUCCAAAACUACGGUUAGAAUUCAGUGGUUAAUCAGAUGCUGAUAGCAAACACUCCCGGUUUCCUUUACAUCCUUGUGACAAUACAAAAGACAAUUGAUAUGUGGCUAGUGUAAGAUUCACUCUGGGCAUUCCAGGCACACUGGGCUUUGUUGAUACUCCAAUGUACAGCUUGGCAUGAUGUGUUGCCUUAGUUUGAGUUGUGUUCCUUUCCCCUGGUGCAAAAACUGUUUUAUUCUUCAAAUUCUAUAAUAGAUUUAUCUUAAAUAUAUGUAUCUAUGGAUUUUACAUUUUAUUUGUGUUACAUUUUGUUCUUAAAGUCCCUUUAGAAUUUAAAACGAAAAGAAAGGAUCCUCCCAGAGACAUAUGGUGGGUUAUUAAAUGGUUCCUUCUAAAAAUCCAGCCUGAAUCUGGUCCACUUUGUUAAUCUCCAGAUGUUUCUCAUUGCAUUAGUAUCAACUUAAAUGAAAGAAGUUUAGUUGGGGUGCUCAUAAUAGGAAAAAAAUAACCAUAAUGGUAUCAUUUUUGCUAGUUUUCUCAGUGAAGCUGAUAUUGGAAAGGCUGGAGUUGCAGGUGCACUUGAUCCUGCCAUCAGGUCUCAUUGCAUAGAUGUUCACAG
rnacentral:lncRNA from 1 species